GCCAAGGCCUCCGUCCCUCCCCUCUGAUCCCAUUCCCUCCCAGUUCAAGGAGUUCGUCCUUCUGGACGAAAACUGAAUAUUUUGGACUAUAAAGAAAACAUGCUCUGUUUCCCCUGAUGGCAUCUCCAGGGUGGAGGAAAAUAGACUGGCCUUUGUUACUUCAUCCCCGGUAGAAGAUUACCAGCCGUCCCCAAAGCUGGAGGCGGGGUGGUGGCAGGAGAUCUUUUCUGUGAAAUGAUGUGAAGACCACCCGCCUGGAAGUGCGGUUGGCUAUGGGAAGAGGAAGAAUGGCAAUGAAGCACUUCUGGGUAUAUCAAAGAAAUCGUGGAGCUUGCUGAUGGUCAGUAAGGGAAGGCUGCAGAUCAAAUACCACAGAUCCUCCCGUGCACAGGGCCACGUCUCUCACACCCAGUAUGUCUCCCAAGCCCAGGAAACCAGCCAACUCUCCCGGGAGUCCAUUCUUGUGUGAGUUAUGCUUACACAGAGCUGAAGCCGACUUCCUGACAGGUUCACCCACUGGCCUGAGUUUUUCUUCUGAAUCAGGCCUGGUCUAUCAUCCACAUUUAACCUUUCAAAUCUUUGUUUGAAAAUAGAAAUCAAGGGAUCUUGGAGAUCUCGCUGAGCAAAAUGUAUCCUGGUCUUGCGAGGUGCACUUCUGCAUUGGUUGGUGAGCUCCCACCGCUAGAUGACUUCCUCAACUUGGCGCUCUCUUUUUGAAAAUGAAAGGCCUAAAAUUUGACACAGAAUGAAUUCCAGGCAUAAAUAUAUAUGUGUGAUGAAACUGUAUUCAAAGGAAAACCGAGGAGAUGACAAAUGCAAAAUUUAGAAUCGUGAGUAGUAACUCAGGUGGAAACAGACAGGGGCGUGAACAGGUGGACAGCAUACGGUCAGGUGUGAAAAGCUCUAGCUCCGUCAAAGCCCAAGCCCUGGAGCUGCCCUGUGGGCUCAUGGGUACUCAUUGUGUGGAUGGACUACAACAGUGUACAAUGAACCAAAGCUUCUCAUUGAUCUGACCCUGUGCUCUGGAGAUCCAUCUGGCUUUUGAAUGAUGAUAUUCAGAGCCCUGGGAAGAGUUGAGAUGAAGAGGAGCAGCCCAAGGACAGGGCCUGUGGUCACCACCAUCUACAAGCACAGACAAGGAAGAAGGACUGGCUCCUGAAGAACUAGGAAAACCGGCCCUGGCUGGUGUGGCUCAGUGGAUGGAGCACUGACCUGCAAACUGAAAUGGCGCUGGUUUGACUCUCAAGCAGGACACACUCCUGGCCUGUAGGCCAGGCUCCCAUUUGGGAGCAUGUGUAUCUCUCACACACUGAUAUUUUUCUCCCUCUCUUUCUCCUUCCCUUCCCCUCUCUCUAAAAGUAAAUAAAUAAAUCUUAAAAUAAAAGAAAAAGAAGUAUGGAAACCAGUGGAGUGUGGAGUCCUGAAGCCUAAGAAGAGAAAGUAACUGAAGCAAGUUAGUGGCUGUGUCAAGAAAGGUAGUGAUCAUUGCAAUUGACCAGCUUCAGAUCACAGGGGACCUUGACUAGAGAAGCCCCUUGCAGUGAGAGGAGAUGACGCUUCCUCCUCUCCAGUACUGCCACCCUGAGUCAGCCCCUUCUCCUCUGUCUUUGAGGUGACACCCUGAGCCCUGCUCUUGUCCCUCACCAGCCUAUGCUCACAUCACCACCCUGGUGGGCACGAGUCCAAACAUGACUGUUCCCUUGGUCCCUUACAUCUCUUGGUGCUGUAUCUGCUUU